CGAUCCUUGCCAAGGCUCUUAGAACCCGGUUUCUUAAUUGCCGUGGACAUGAUCUUAGACAAAAUGCCUCACUGGGUUUGUCUUCUACCUUGCUAGCAUCCGACCAAUGGGGACAUUA
ensembl:snoRNA small nucleolar RNA, H/ACA box 32